rnacentral:rRNA from 1 species
UGGGAAUCUUGCACAAUGGGGGAAACCCUGAUGCAGCGACGCCGCGUGGGUGAUGAAGUCCUUCGGGAUGUAAAGCCCUUUCGACGGGAACGAUAAUGACGGUACCCGGAGAAGAAGCUGCGGCUAACUACGUGCCAGCAGCCGCGGUAAUACGUAGGCAGCAAGCGUUGUUCGGAGUUACUGGGCGUAAAGAGUGUGUAGGCGGGUAGGCAAGUUUGGUGUGAAAUCUCCCGGCUUAACUGGGAGGGUGCGCCGAAUACUGCCUGUCUUGAGUGCGGGAGAGGAAAGCGGAAUUCCUGGUGUAGCGGUGAAAUGCGUAGAUAUCAGGAGGAACACCUGCGGUGUAGACGGCUUUCUGGACCGUAACUGACGCUGAGACACGAAAGCGUGGGUAGCAAACAG